rnacentral:rRNA from 1 species
AACGAACGCUGGCGGCAUGCCUAACACAUGCAAGUCGAACGAGACCUUCGGGUCUAGUGGCGCACGGGUGCGUAACGCGUGGGAAUCUGCCCUCUGGUUCGGAACAACAGUUGGAAACGACUGCUAAUACCGGAUAAUGACUUCGGUCCAAAGAUUUAUCGCCUGAGGAUGAGCCCGCGUCGGAUUAGCUUGUUGGUGAGGUAAAAGCUCACCAAGGCGACGAUCCGUAGCUGGUCUGAGAGGAUGAUCAGCCACACUGGGACUGAGACACGGCCCAGACUCCUACGGGAGGCAGCAGUGGGGAAUAUUGGACAAUGGGCGAAAGCCUGAUCCAGCAAUGCCGCGUGAGUGAUGAAGGCCCUAGGGUUGUAAAGCUCUUUUACCCGGGAUGAUAAUGACAGUACCGGGAGAAUAAGCCCCGGCUAACUCCGAGCCAGCCGCCGCCGUAACAC